UAGAGAAAGGGCGCCUUGCCUGUUGUGGUUCCGGUUCUCCCCUGGGCAUUCUGAGUUCCUGUCGUGUAAAGUGUGUGUAUGCCACCAUCACUAGUACAUCCUGUUCCUCUUCCGGUAUUUCUAAAUUCCUUCACACUGACGUUACAAAUACAUCCUCUGCAAACCGAAGCCGGGAUUGGACGCUGUGUCGAGCUCCCGAAGCGCAGACGUUUCGAAACACUGAUCCGAGAUGUGGUUCAAAACUCCCGUGUCACGUGACCAUGGCUAAGUGAAGCUUCGGUAUUUCUAAAUUCCUUCACACUGACGUUACAAAUACAUCCUCUGCAAACCGAAGCCGGUUACCCUCUCUGCAGGACAUCCCCAGUGCGAACUGUUCACACGUCUACCCUCUGGCAGGAGGUACAGAAGUGUGAAAUGCAGAAGAUCCAGAGUAAGGAACAGCUU